rnacentral:lncRNA from 1 species
AAUCAAUGCCAGUGUGGAUAAGAUUGAUUAUUUCAACACCCAACAGGGCCCCUCUGAGAGAGGGGAUGAGGAGCAGCUUCUUGCAGUGUGUAAAGAGCUGGCAGAGUAAUUAUUGAAGGUUCAAGGUAUGGCUUUAUCCUGGAUACAUACUUCACAAAAAUAUUAUAUACUUUAUACAAAUAUUAUAUACUUUAUA